CACACACACACACACUCUCACUCACUCACUCACACACACUCACUCUCUGAAGGAAAGAAAACCAGCUUUCCUCCUCGAGUUGGGCAGAAGGAGUCGUUUAAUCUCUCCUCAUCGAGUAAUUGAUCGCUAGAUGUUUCUCUGUGCAGCGGACGCUUUCUGACGGACUUUAGAGGAUCGUGAAUGAAGAUGUUGAGAGAUCUGAUCUGAACGUCAUAAAUCCAUAAGGAGCUGCAUUCAUCUGCAGACUGAGGAAGUGCAGAAGACAAAACAGCAGAAGAGAGCGACCGGCUCACGAUGGCUUUUCCAUCUCGCUCGUCUCGG